rnacentral:lncRNA from 1 species
UAAAGAAAUAUUUUAAUAUAUUUUCAUUUCCCCCUUACAGGAGCAGAUCCCAAAUUCUGGGGAAGGAAAGAAGUUAUGAAUUAUAGAGUUCCAAGGGUUAAAUGUGUGGUUAUUGAUGACAAGGACCAUGCGUUUUGCCAUUCUUUGUAUUCUGGCGGCUGUGUCUGGAACAUAAGGAGGUACCUGUGGUCCAGAGAAAAGAAGCAACUUACUCAAGUUUAUGCAGCUAAAUCAAUGGCAAAGGAAGUAUCAUACAACAAUAAAUGUAGAAUUGGAAGGGGCCUUAAAGUCCACAGUGUGUAAACUCCUCACAUUCCAGUUAAAGAGGUUAAGAUAUAGAUAAGACAAAUUACUUGUGCAGGAUCACACAGUUCAUAAAUAUCUGAGGUGGUUUUCAGCCCAGGUCUUCUUAACUCUAAGUGAAGCACAUUGUGUCAACAAGGAUUGGGAUUCACUUCUUGUCUUUCCUUAUUUAGGAAGAUUUCAUUUGUACUAUGCUUCAGAAUAUAUUUUCUGUCUCUUCUAAUGUUUUAGUGAGGAACUUUGCUUUUUACAAUGGGUAUUUAGUAAGUAUUUAUUGGACAUGUUGAAGAUUAACAGGAAAAUAUAUGAUAUUGUUUUUUAUUUACUAGUUACAUCACUGCACUUUGCAAAAUGGGAGAGAAGGUCCUAAGAAUGUUUUCCCAUGAAUAACAAAAAAGUUUGUUUCUAGUUCAAUAAAAAAGAAGGGAAAGAAAUUUCA